AUGACCUGUGUGGAAAAGGAUGCCUCAGUACUUUUGUCAUGUUUUCCAGAAUAAAUAUCUACACUCUAAAAACGGCUGGGUUAUUUUUUAACCCAAAAUGCUGGGCUGAGUCUGUUGGGUCAUCUUGUUGGGUUAUUUUAUUACUUUUUAAACACUUUUGGGUAGUUUCAAUUUACCAGGUGUUGAGUUAAACCUGCUGGGUUGCAACGCUGGGUUGUUUCAGGCCAGCACUGGGUUAUUUAACGCGCCUUGAAGAUGUUUAAAUCGCUCCCUAACUGUCAUUUUGGAAGGACAACGGGCAAAGCAACUGGUUUCAACUGUUUUAAGAAGAGAACAUGGAAACAUUUGUGAGAGAAAAACUCGUCGAGUGCAGUCUUAUGGAGACGUCUAACGGUUGGAACAAACGUGGAAUUCCUUAACCGAGUCCACAAAACCCCAUCCAUCUGUCAUGGCGAUUUGAAA